AUUGAACGCUGGCGGCAUGCCUUACACAUGCAAGUCGAACGGCAGCACGGGUGCUUGCACCUGGUGGCGAGUGGCGAACGGGUGAGUAAUACAUCGGAACGUGCCCAGUAGUGUGGGAUAGCCCGGCGAAAGCCGGAUUAAUACCGCAUACGACCUAAGGGUGAAAGGGGGGGAUCGCAAGACCUCUCGCUAUUGGAGCGGCCGAUGUCAGAUUAGGUAGUUGGUGGGGUAAAGGCCCACCAAGCCAACGAUCUGUAGCUGGUCUGAGAGGACGAUCAGCCACACUGGGACUGAGACACGGCCCAGACUCCUACGGGAGGCAGCAGUGGGGAAUUUUGGACAAUGGGGGAAACCCUGAUCCAGCCAUGCCGCGUGCGGGAAGAAGGCCUUCGGGUUGUAAACCGCUUUUGUCAGGGAAGAAAAGCUCUAGGAUAAUACCUUGGAGUAAUGACGGUACCUGAAGAAUAAGCACCGGCUAACUACGUGCCAGCAGCCGCCGUAA
rnacentral:rRNA from 1 species